CAAUACGAAAAUAUUUUAUUCUGCCCUGGCAGACUUCGACAAGUGUUGUUCGGUUUUCUUUCAAGGCUAACUUUUGACAAAAGCUGCUAAUGUGUAGCCUAUUCUAACCUACAGGACCGGAAAUUUAUCAGUGUCAGAGAGAACAAAAUGUGGUUUACUUGAAGUUUAGCAAAAAUAAUUCUGCAAACAAGAUGCAAGAUAAAUUGUUACAAGCCUGUAGAAAACUGGGCAAUGGGUAGAACUUAUUACUCGUCUUAAGCUACAUGAAAUCUGCUGGUGCCUAUGACUGAACUAUGCCGUUUCACACAGCACACUGAAAAUUGCUGAAGAAAAACUAGAAAAAAGCACAUAAAAGCACAUUUUUACCAAAGGAAGUGUUAACGUUAAAAAACCUCUGAGCCUGUGUCAAAUAGUUGUAAAAACUCCACAUGAAAUUCACAAUGCAGAAUUAAUUAAUUUCAAAAUUUUAAGUUAUUCAAAUAAAACAAAUAAACCUAA